UGAGGAGGUCGAGACCUCCGCUACCUCCGGAUCCAGUGAGGUCCGUGAGUUGAGGGGCCAGCUUGCGGCCCUCACUGAUUUAGUCACUCAGUAGGCGGAGGCGGCCCGACAGCAGACUGAGGCGGCGCGCCGACAGGAGGCGCGGAUGAAGCGCCUGGAGGACCUUCUACUGCAGCAGGCAGCAGCUUCUAGGGAGACUCAGGUCCCUACACCGCCAGCACCAGUUGUGGACGUCGCACCUAGAGCGUCGUCCCCCGCGCCCAGUUCUUCGCAUGCGGUGCCUGUGGCCGCACCCCAGGAGGAGGUUUUGGUGGCACCACCUGUGCAGAGGCCCCCGGUUGGAGCUGCAUUUCCUACCUUGGUUGAGGGGGCGGAGCGAGACAGACUGAUGGAGUGCCUCAAUGAGUUCAGGAGGUGCAGUCCCCGAGUCUUCGACGGCGAGAAGGUCGACCACUAGAUCGUGGAGAAGUGGUUAAUGUAUAUGGAGAAGCUCUUCCGCGACACCUUCGUGGAGGAGAGGGAUCGAGUUUGGCUCGCCACUCACCACUUGGAC
rnacentral:lncRNA from 1 species